AUGACAAAGAAAAGAAGGAACAAUGGUCAUGCCAAAAAGGGCCACAGCCAUGUGCAGCCGAUUCGCUGCACGAAUGGUGCCUGAUGUGUGGCCAAGGACAAGGCCAUUAAGAAAUUCAUCAAAACAUCAUGGAGGCCGCAGCAGUCAGGGACAUUUCCGAAGCGAGUGUCUUCGAUGCCUAUGUGCUUCCCAAGCUGUAUGUGAAGCUACUUUCUUGUGUAGGUUGUGCAAUGCACAGCAAGGUAGUCAGGAAUGGAUCUCAUGAAGCCCACAAGGACCGAACACCCCCGCCUCGAUUUAGACCUGUGGGUGCUGCCCCACGACCGCCACCAAAGCCCACGUGA
rnacentral:lncRNA from 1 species